rnacentral:rRNA from 1 species
AGUGAACGCUGGCGGUAGGCCUAACACAUGCAAGUCGAACGGCAGCACAGGAGAGCUUGCUCUCUGGGUGGCGAGUGGCGAACGGGUGAGUAAUACAUCGGAACGUGCCCUGUAGUGGGGGAUAACUAGUCGAAAGAUUAGCUAAUACCGCAUACGACCUGAGGGUGAAAGUGGGGGACCGCAAGGCCUCAUGCUAUAGGAGCGGCCGAUGUCUGAUUAGCUAGUUGGUGGGGUAAAGGCCUACCAAGGCGACGAUCAGUAGCUGGUCUGAGAGGACGAUCAGCCACACUGGGACUGAGACACGGCCCAGACUCCUACGGGAGGCAGCAGUGGGGAAUUUUGGACAAUGGGCGAAAGCCUGAUCCAGCAAUGCCGCGUGUGUGAAGAAGGCCUUCGGGUUGUAAAGCACUUUUGUCCGGAAAGAAAUGGCUCUGGUUAAUACCUGGGGUCGAUGACGGUACCGGAAGAAUAAGGACCGGCUAACUACGUGCCAGCCGCCGCCGUAA